CCCUUAGAGUUUGAUCCUGGCUCAGGAUGAACGCUAGCUACAGGCUUAACACAUGCAAGUCGAGGGGCAGCAUGGACCCAGUUUUGCUGGGUUUGAUGGCGACCGGCGCACGGGUGAGUAACGCGUAUCCAACCUGCCCUUUACUCCGGGAUAGUCUCCUGAAAGGGAGUUUAAUACCGGAUGUGUUUGUCUUUCCGCAUGGGAGCGACAAAUAAAGAUUGAUUGGUAAAGGAUGGGGAUGCGUCCCAUUAGCUUGUUGGCGGGGUAACGGCCCACCAAGGCGACGAUGGGUAGGGGUUCUGAGAGGAAGGUCCCCCACAUUGGAACUGAGACACGGUCCAAACUCCUACGGGAGGCAGCAGUGAGGAAUAUUGGUCAAUGGGCGGGAGCCUGAACCAGCCAAGUAGCGUGAAGGACGACGGCCCUACGGGUUGUAAACUUCUUUUAUAAGGGAAU
rnacentral:rRNA from 1 species